GGGGAGAGCGUAGAUGAAGGGGGAGAGCAUGGAUGAGCAUGUUUUGAACUGAAGCAGAGGAUGAUAAGUUCAAGAACAAAGGGGGAGAGCAUGGAUGAGCAUGGAUGAAGGGGGAGAGCAUGAAUGAGCAGAAAAUCAAGACAUCAAGACUCCUAGUUGUGUCUAAGUCAUAGAGUCUGUUUUAGGAGUUUUGAUAUAAUUUUGAGUUUCAAAUUGUAUUUGGAUUACACGCGAGGGGUUCGAUGUUUUGGUGAGGACAUUGAACUUCGGUUUUUCUUUAAAUUGUAAUUUGUGAGCUUUUGUGUGUUUUGUCACGAAAUUGCCAAAGGGGGAGAUUGUUAGGUCCUAUGUGUUGGCAAGUUUCGUGGGUCGAGUCGGAGUCUUGAAGAAGUCCGGAGCGGAGUAUUGAAGAUCGAAGAAUCCAAGACUUCGAAGAAGCGGAAAGAACGCAAAACACGUAAAACAUGAAUCACGAUGCUUAGGUAAGCUUUAAAUCUUGUUUAUGGUGAUUCAUACUUAUUUAUAGAUCUUAGAAUCAUAUUUUCAAGUUGUAAUAAAUUAGAAAGUUUCUAAGAGUUUGUAAAAUCCGAAACAAUGCAUUUUCAGCGAAAAUUGCAUUGUUGUACCGGUACAAGGGUUUUCUGUCCAGGGUACAGCCAUCAGUGUUUGCGCGGAUCGUUUGAUGGUUGUUCCGGUACAACCUUCACGCUGUACCGGUACAAGCCCUGUUCCGGAACAAGCUGCAGCCUAUCCAGGGUACAGAAGCUUCGCAGAAAAAUCUUCCGUCAUGCUGUACCCUGGACAGCUUUCCUUGUUCCGGUACAAGGUGCUGAUUUUGGAAAGAAACUUUCUAAUUCUACUCCGUUUUGAUUCUAAAGUCUAUAAAUAAGCUAGAGGGGUUCUCUAACUAAUAAAGCAUCAUAAGAAUACAUGUUUGAGAAACCCUAGAGGCUCGGAUUUCAUUCUAAACCUAUUUUCUACAAAUUAGCCUCUUUAGAUCAAAUUGAGAUAACGUUUCGCAUUCGCUAUAUGUCGAUUUGAUCUAGUUUUCGCUUGGAGUUUUCUUCUUUGGUUUUCUACGAUACUCCUAAGCGAAGGAGCACCAUAAUCAUGAUACUCUUCAUGAACGGCGUCGUGGAUUCGGCGUGAACAAAGGCGGUUCGUGGAUUCGGAUCGUUUGCUCGUGGAUUCGAGUGGCGUCGUGGAUUCGACGUGAUUGAAGCUUCGUGGAUUCGAAGUGGAGGCGUUCGUGGAUUCGAACGUGAGGGCGUGGACAACCCGGAGGGUAGCGCGAAGAUUCAUAGGAGGUUAAGAGAGGUUGAGUCCGUGGAGUCGGUAAUCACCUUGUAAUCUUUUCUCUUAGUGAAUUAUUUUUUCGCGUGUUGGUCCCGUGGGUUUUUCUCCAAGUUGGAGUUUUCCCACGUAAAUCUCGGUGUGCUUUUUAUUUUCCGCAUUUAUUUUUAUUGCAUUGAGAUUUGUGGUUUUUGGCCGUUCACCUAUUCACCCCCCUCUAGGUGAUAGAUACAAUCUAGAUAGAUCCUUGGGCUACUCAAAACUUUCAAUUGGUAUCAGAGUAGGAUCUAGAUAAAUUGUUUUCUAAUGGCCGAAGACGGUAACGUUAAUCGACCACCACUCUUCGAUGGCACGAAUUAUGCCUAUUGGAAAGUUCGCAUGAGAGCUUUUCUAAUUGCAAUCGAUGAGCGUGUUUGGAAAGCUAUUGAAUUUGGUUGGGAGCACCCUACCGAAGUUGUCAAUAACGCUACCGUUCCUAAACCACGGAACAAGUGAACAAAAGAUGAAAACGAGUCAUCUUCGUUUAACGGUAAAGGAAUUAAUGCUUUAUUCAACGCUUUAUCGCAAACGGAGUUUACUCGGGUUUCGGCAUGCGAAACGGCAAAGGAAAUUUGGGAUACUCUACAAGUUACGCAUGAAGGAACAAGCUUAGUAAAGGUCCAAAAAUUGCAAAUGCUAACUAGCAAGUUUGAUUCUAUUUCUAUGGAUGAAAACGAGACCUUUACCGAGUACUAUGCACGUCUACAAGAUGUUGUGAAUACAUGUGCUAACUUGGGAGAGAAAAUUUCGGAUUCUAAGGUUAUUAGAAAGAUUCUUCGAACUCUUCCGGAAUGUUUUCGGGCUAAAGUAGCCGCGAUCGAAACGGUCAAACAUCCGGAUGAGAUGAAAGUCGAGGAAUUAGUAGGUGCUUUACAAACUUAUGAAAUGACCUUUCCUACUAAUCAAUUUUCUUCCAAGUCUUCUUCUAAAAGCACAGGUGUUGCAUUGAAAUCUACAAAGAAGAAGAACGAAGACUCGAGUUCCGACGAUGACUUAUCAAUUGCGGACUUUGAACAACAAUUGGCGCUUCUCACGAAGAAGUUUCGUCGAAAUUUUCGGAACAAGAAUAGAUUGGACAAGGCUUCAUCGUCCAAGCGACAAUCUUUGUCUAAAUCAUCUUCAUCUUCAAAGUCUAAGGAUAAAAGCCGUGCAAAGUCUUCAAAGGAAAAGGAUGUAUUUGAAGGCGAGAUCCAAUGCUUCAAGUGCAAAGGCUACGGCCAUAUUGCGACGGAUUGUCCUUCAAAGAAGAUGUAUAGACAAAAGGCUAUGCAAGAAAAGACGUGGGAUGAUUCAACAUCAAGUGAAUCAUCGUCAAGUGACGAAGAAAAGAAUGAUCAAAUUGCUCUAUUUGCUAAUACUCCCUCGUCGAAUGUUGUGUGUUUAUCCUCUAUUGCUACUAACUCCAAUAUUUCUCUUUCUUCACAUGAUUUAUCGAGCAACAAUGGCGAAAGUGAGGAGGAAUCAAACGACGACGACAUAGCGGAAGCGUACAAUCAACUUCUUAUUGAAUCAAAGAAGAUGGCUAAACUCAACAAGAAGUUGAGACGUCAUUUGUUGGAACUUGAGGAGGAGAACAACAACAUAAAGAGUUUGAAUAAGGCUCUUGAGGAGGAAAGAGAUUCAAGUUUGAAGAUUAAUUUGGACCUCCAAGAGAAGCUUAGCGAUGCGGAAUCAACGAUCAAAUCUUCUAACGACAAGAUUGGAUUUUUGGAGCAUCAAUUUCAUGAAUCGCACAAGUCCAAUCAAGUCUUGACCAACCAAGUUCGUCAACUCCAAUCCGAUCUUCAACAAUUUUCUUCGGGAUCAAAGAAGUUGGACAAAAUGUUUGGAUUGGGUCAAACAAGCAAAUUGGGCCUUGGAUAUGAACGGACAUAUGUUGAGAAGGAUCAAACGGCGACAUCUAAACUCUCAACAACUUUGAAAGGCAAAGUGUGUCAUCGAUGUGGCAUCAAAGGACACAUCAAAAGGAAUUACCCAAAUAAAGACAAGAAGAAUCAAUCGGCAACUUCUAAACCUCAAGCGGCAUUAUCUACAACUCGACUUCCCACGCAGAAUCUUAAGAAAAAUCAAGUUAGUCGAGUACCUCAAAAGAACCGGACCUCUAAUGCACAACGUCAAGUUCAUGCAAAACAGGUGCAUAAGCCUCAACGACAAAUUCAACCGAAGCCUCAACCGAAAAAACCGCCAACGGUUGAUCAAAAAUCUAAACAAACGGCACCAAACGUCGACAAGCCGAGAAAACCAAAGAUCCGACAAGUUUGGAUCCGGAAAGGUGAUAUCUUUCCUUGCUCCUCGUCUUAGUCAUUUUUGAUUUUUAGUGUAAUGCUUUGAUUGGUGCUCGUUGUUUAAUUUUAUUCAUUGCAUUACAUGUUUGAAUGAUUUUUGGUGCAUUGAAUUUUUGUUUUAUUUAAAAAUUAUUUUGAGGAAAAGGUGUUUGGGAAUUUCAAAAUCUUUGAGAAAAGAGAUAAUUGAGAUCCAUGAUUUUGGAGAGAGAAAUUUUUCUAAAACGGGUUUUAACUUCACAAUCAUAUUAAGUUAAAUUCAUAUUAAUUAUCGGUUUUACUCCACUAUUUAUUAUUUUGACGAUAAUUUAUUAUAUGAUUUCUUAUUGCAUAAAUUCAUCAAAAUUUUGAAAUCAAAUUUGAUUUUUUGGUGAUUAAUUCAUCUUGGUUGUGAGUGUUGGAUAUGAUGAAUGGGUAUUCUCUAAUUGACUAAAAUUCGUCAAAAUUAUUUUCAAUUGUGAGAUUGCCUAAUUUAGGGGGAGUUUGAAAUUUAAAAAAAAGGAGAAAAAGAAACUCCAAUGUUUAAAAGAUGUGGAAAGAGUUACAUCCAAAAGGAGUGUGAAAACUACCACCACAUGUAGGAAAGAGCUACCACCCCGGUCGUCCGGCAAGUGUGUGAAGNNNNNNNNNNNNNNNNNNNNNNNNNNNNNNNNNNNNNNNNNNNNNNNNNNNNNNNNNNNNNNNNNNNNNNNNNNNNNNNNNNNNNNNNNNNNNNNNNNNNNNNNNNNNNNNNNNNNNNNNNNNNNNNNNNNNNNNNNNNNNNNNNNNNNNNNNNNNNNNNNNNNNNNNNNNNNNNNNNNNNNNNNNNNNNNNNNNNNNNNNNNNNNNNNNNNNNNNNNNNNNNNNNNNNNNNNNNNNNNNNNNNNNNNNNNNNNNNNNNNNNNNNNNNNNNNNNNNNNNNNNNNNNNNNNNNNNNNNNNNNNNNNNNNNNNNNNNNNNNNNNNNNNNNNNNNNNNNNNNNNNNNNNNNNNNNNNNNNNNNNNNNNNNNNNNNNNNNNNNNNNNNNNNNNNNNNNNNNNNNNNNNNNNNNNNNNNNNNNNNNNNNNNNNNNNNNNNNNNNNNNNNNNNNNNNNNNNNNNNNNNNNNNNNNNNNNNNNNNNNNNNNNNNNNNNNNNNNNNNNNNNNNNNNNNNNNNNNNNNNNNNNNNNNNNNNNNNNNNNNNNNNNNNNNNNNNNNNNNNNNNNNNNNNNNNNNNNNNNNNNNNNNNNNNNNNNNNNNNNNNNNNNNNNNNNNNNNNNNNNNNNNNNNNNNNNNNNNNNNNNNNNNNNNNNNNNNNNNNNNNNNNNNNNNNNNNNNNNNNNNNNNNNNNNNNNNNNNNNNNNNNNNNNNNNNNNNNNNNNNNNNNNNNNNNNNNNNNNNNNNNNNNNNNNNNNNNNNNNNNNNNNNNNNNNNNNNNNNNNNNNNNNNNNNNNNNNNNNNNNNNNNNNNNNNNNNNNNNNNNNNNNNNNNNNNNNNNNNNNNNNNNNNNNNNNNNNNNNNNNNNNNNNNNNNNNNNNNNNNNNNNNNNNNNNNNNNNNNNNNNNNNNNNNNNNNNNNNNNNNNNNNNNNNNNNNNNNNNNNNNNNNNNNNNNNNNNNNNNNNNNNNNNNNNNNNNNNNNNNNNNNNNNNNNNNNNNNNNNNNNNNNNNNNNNNNNNNNNNNNNNNNNNNNNNNNNNNNNNNNNNNNNNNNNNNNNNNNNNNNNNNNNNNNNNNNNNNNNNNNNNNNNNNNNNNNNNNNNNNNNNNNNNNNNNNNNNNNNNNNNNNNNNNNNNNNNNNNNNNNNNNNNNNNNNNNNNNNNNNNNNNNNNNNNNNNNNNNNNNNNNNNNNNNNNNNNNNNNNNNNNNNNNNNNNNNNNNNNNNNNNNNNNNNNNNNNNNNNNNNNNNNNNNNNNNNNNNNNNNNNNNNNNNNNNNNNNNNNNNNNNNNNNNNNNNNNNNNNNNNNNNNNNNNNNNNNNNNNNNNNNNNNNNNNNNNNNNNNNNNNNNNNNNNNNNNNNNNNNNNNNNNNNNNNNNNNNNNNNNNNNNNNNNNNNNNCCCAUGAUGUCUCUAUAUAUUGAGUUUAUUUUGGAGCUGCUUGGGUUGGGUAGCUGGUUAGUUAUCAGUGACAAUAUGGUUUCCUUUUUCUUUUAGUUAGAAGAGCUAUAUAUAUAUAUAUAUAUAUAUAUAUAUAUAUAUAUAUAUAUAUAUAUAUAUUAGUCUACUAUAUUAUUAAUAGUACCAACCACUUGCUAUUAGGUUUUCGACCCUUGGAUGAAGGGAUGUGCGGUUAGGAUGAUAGUGAUCCCCUAGGAUUGAGUGGGUGGUUAGUUGAAUAGUAUGAUCAAUCAGGUGGAAAUGGUUAAAUGAGUAAAUCUAACGGCACAAAAUUCGAUAGCACUAAGCAUUUGGUACUAUCGAUAAUAUAGUAGCCGAACUCUAUAUCUCUCUCUAUAUAUAUAUAUCUCUCUCUCUAUAUAUAUAGUCCGGCUAUUAUACUAUCUAUAGUACCAAUCGUUUUGUGCUAUCAAGUUUUCUGCCAUUAGAUCAAUCUAUAUAUAUAAAAUCCGGCUGCUAUACUAUCGAUAGUACCAAGUGUUUGGUGCUAUCGAGUUUUCUGCCGUUAGAUCUACCCCUUUGGCCAUUUUCAUCCGUUAGAUCAUACUAUUCAACUAGCCAUCUCCUCAACCCUAGGAGGCUACUAUCAUCCUGACUACACAUCCCUUCAUACAAGGGUCGAAAAACCUAAUAGCAAGCGGUUAGUACUAUUAAUAGUAUAGUAGCCUAAUUCUAUAUAUAUAUAGGCUAGGACUAAUAUACUCUUAUGAGUAUAGAGCUCUUUAUACUCAUAAAUUUUCAGCCGUUGGAUGUACAAUUAAGAUGAUAGUGAUCCCUAGGAUUGAAUGGGUGGAUGAAUAGUAUGAUUUACAGAUAGAAAUGGUCAAAAGUAUAGAUCUAACAGUAGAAAACUUAUGAAUAUAAAGAAGUCUAUACUAAUAAGAGUACAGCGGUCGAACUCUCUCUAUAUAUAACUAGUGAAGGCCCGCGCUUCGCGGCGGGAAAUUUGCGAAAAUUUUCAAAUAUUUUGAACAAACUUGUUUAAUUUUUUUAUUUUAAGAUCUAAGUUAAAAUUGUAAACAUAAAAAAAAUUAAAUAUAAAAUUAUAUAUAAUAAAUAUAUAUAUAUAUAUAUAUUUUUAUAAAUAAAUUAGAUAUAUAUAUAGGAAAAAUAAAUUUAGAUUUGAAAUUUUAAAAUUCAUAUAUAAAAAUUUAAAAUAUAAAACUAUAAAAUCUCUCUCUCUCUCAUUCUCUCUCUCUCUCCUCUCCCCUCUCUCUAUCUUUUUCUCCUGACCUACUCUUCUCUCUCUCUCUCUUCUCUCUCUUUUCUCUCUCCCCUCCUGGCACUCGACCGUGCGCCCGCCGCCGCCGCGCCCCGCCGCCGCCGCCGACUGCCGCCGGCCGCGGCUCAGCGCGCCGCUACUGUCGGCCCGGCCUCCUGCGUGCAGGCCCGCUGGCGAGAGGGGAAGAGAGAGAGGAGGGGAGCGGCUGAGAGCGGGAAGAGCGGGGAGGGGGCGGGGGGAGAGGGGAGGUAAAAGGAGGCAGGGGGAAGCCGCGCGCGGGGGCGCGGGCUGGGGAGUCCCCCGGGCGACCCGACACCGCCGGUGCGGUCACGCGCCGGGGGUGAGGAGGGAGGGAGAGGGGAGGGGGAGGAGAGAGCGGCGGGCUGGAGAAGAUGAGAGAGGAAACAGGAGAUAGAGAGAGCGAGGGAAGGCCCACCAUGUGGCCGACCACGGCCCUUCGUCGCGAGACGAGAGAAGAGAGAUAGGAGACGGAGGGGGAGGGCACGGGGAUGGGGUGGGGAGAGGGAGAGAGGGAGAGAGAGAAAUGAGAGAGAGAGAGAGAGAGCCGCGGCGGCCUACCAUGUGCGCGCGGUGCCGUCUCGCGGGUGCACGCGAGCAGAGAGAGGAGAGAGAGAACUGAGCUUCUCUCUCUCCCUUCUUCUCGGCGCGAAGGCCCCCGCAAAUAUGCGGGAGCUCGCCGCCAGGGCUGGGUGUUCGCUGCCGGUAGGCGACGCGUGCAAUGUGAGGGUUCGCCCUUUUUAUUAUAUAUCGGAUUAUAUAUAAUAUAUUAUUAAUUAUAUAAAUAAUAUAUAUUAUGUAUUUUAAUGUAUAGUAAUAGAAUUUAAUUAUUGGGCCCACAAAAAGCAAACCGGCAAAAUUCCUACUAUAAAUUGCUCCCUCUCUGCUCUUUUCUCACUCGGCUCACAGAGUCGCUUUUCCUAAUUUUUUUUUAAGAUUAUAAUAUUCGUAUUCAGCAUUCUAAUUCUGUGAUGUGUGAAUAUUAGAUUUUUUUGUAUGCGAAUUUUAGAUAAUGAUUUUAUAAAAAUUCAAAUUAUAGAUUGCAACGAUAUUAAAAUUUCACGCGGCUCGUUUAGGCUCGAGUCGCUUGACUCGAAGUUAGGCUCGCUUCGAGCUCGUUCGAAUUGAUUUCAAGUCGAGCUUGAGUCCUAAAUUUUAAGCUCCGAAAUUAAUUUCGAAGCCAAACUUGAGCUGAGGUAGCUCGCUCAGAGCUUGGUCGUUUCCACCCACUAAGCUAGUUUUGCACUGUGACAUAUUAUCUUAACUACAAGAAAAGCGCAGUUGAGCUGUGGAGAGGUAUUAUACUAGUAGCUCCUAAAUGAAUGUGAAAGUCGUAGUUUAAUACAGUUUUAAUGUUAGCUUGCCAGCAGCGUUUGCGCUGUACUCAUUCGAUCUUGUGGUAGUGUGAAUUUUUGAGAACUCUCAAAGGUUGGAUUUUGGUGUUCCAACCAUGAACCAAAGUGGGAUUCAAGUUACACUAUUAUACUAGGUAAUUUCUAGCCUUACUUUGAAUAUGUAAGUUUUAUAUGUAUAGGUUAAUGUAUGAGCUGCCUAGCUGAAUAUCGAAUUCAUUGCUAGGAUAUUGGCGGCUUUGAUUACUUCAGUUUGGAAACGAUGAAGCGUCAGACAUUUGGUGGUUUUGACCUUCUCGAAAUGGCCGUGAAUUCCACUCUAUGUCUCCUUUGGACAUUAUGAGUUUAAAGUUACUGAGUUUUAUGUGAACAUAUGUGUAUUGCAUGAAUUGAGACAUGCUCAUGUGAUAUCAUAUCAGAAUAUACGAGCACUCUAUGCAGUUAGAGGAAGAAGUAUGAAAUUGCUUAUUUCACAUAGAUCAUUUGCUCUAGAAUAGUGUAGAAUUCCAUGGAUAUGAGCAGCCUGUACAAACAAGCUAAGUAUGAUCAUCAUUCAAGGAGGGAGGAUUGUAAAACAUGAUAGUAACAUUUUAGCUACUAUUGGACAACACGGGAAUGAAUGUACUGAUGAAAGAUGAAUCAUGCAAUUCCCUGUUGUAGACAUCAGUUGCCUAGAACUCUUAGUCCUAUCUAGGUAUAAUGACGUUAUUCUAUUAAUCCAUGUUGGAAUCGUUAAGAGAUUCAUUAGACAAUGUUUCACAUAUCUCGUCGUUAACAAGUUGUUAUUUGUUUUUCCAACUGAUGACUUGGCAUUAUGACAUAACAUGAAUAUGCAUUGUUAAUACAAUCUAGUGGAAUGGCUAGAUACCAUGAUGUUAUACUUGUAUUGUAAGAGUUGAAUUCUCGAAAUUCGAGAGUUCACAUCGUCCAGGAUCGAUAAUUGUCGAAAUGAGGCACCCUUCGGAAGGCUAAAGAUAUCCAAAACAAAAAGUGCAUAUGGAGUGAGUCCGCUGAGAGCAUAUACAAACACUGCACUGGCUGAUGUUGCUCUCGGCACCGGGCCCUGGCAGGGAGAGACCGGUCCGAGGCCUAGGGGUUGCUGGGAAUCUUUGAUCGCAAUCCCAGUUCCGCAGCUGAGGGACCGGUCCCGCUGUGUUAGGGCCAGCCGAGAAAGCCAAAAUUUGGCUAAGUCCCGAAAAUCCAGCCUCUCAGGGGAACCGAGUCUCUCGAACAGAGACCGCGGUCUCCGAGGACAGUCUUGCGGGAGAGACUGGUUCCCGAAACGCGUGAUAUCUGGGGAGGCUCUUGGUACCGGUCCAGGUCGGGGCGAGACCAGUCCCUUGGUGCGAAAACUUGCUAGUAACAGCAGUGCACAGGAUGGAAAAUGGAGGUGUUUUAUGCAAAUGCGAUUAAUUAGAGAUAUAGAGAAGAGAGAGCUCUCUCCCUCUAUCAUUUUCACCUCCUCACACUCUCUCUUUUCACUCAUCUCUUUCUCAUCUAGAUGGGAAAAGAAGGAGAUAGAAAAAGAGGAGAAGAAGAUGGAAGAAGAAGAAGAAGAAGAAAGCGAAGCGAGAUAAGAAAAAGAGAUCAAACGAGAGUGAUGGACAUCUCCCUCUCCUCUCCUCUUUCUUCUUUGGAGCUAGCACAAGGGUAAGCCUAACCCUCAGCUUUUGGAAACUUAGGUUUGAGUUUUGUUUGAGAGGAGGUCAAAUGGACCUCUUGCACAUUGUUGUGGAUUAGAAGUCAGAGCUUAGGGUUCCAAAUUGCAAAUGGCAAGAUGUGAACCUAGGCUUCAAAAUUGGAGUUUUUGUAUAAAGAUAUGAGAUUGAUCCAUUUAACGCCUUGUUAACCUAUUGCUUACGGUGUCCAAACGCCGGGGGCGACAGUCGGAUUUAACGAUUCGGUUCGAAUGUCGAUUUAAAGCUAUCGGCAAAAUAAGGCCGAUUUGAAGCUUUUGUUUUUGGACCAGAGGGANNNNNNNNNNNNNNNNNNNNNNNNNACCUCUACAUCGGUAAAAGGUGGGGGGUGCCAUCCCGAAGCUUUCGAACUCCUUUCUAUGUCUUAGAUUGCAUUUAAUCUCAUCUCUUCAUAUUGCAUUGUAGGAUUGCAUGGUAGCUCCAUUUCUUAUGCUUUCUAAUUGAUAACCUAAUGUACUUGGAACGCUUGGUGACAUAGAUAGGUGAGGAUUGGGUCGGAACGUGGAUCCUAUGAUGCGAAAGAAAAGAGAUGUACCCCAUGGGGGUGUUGAUGACAUAGAAAGUAGUGUUAACGUCAAAGAACAAACGAGUGGCAUCCAAAUAUUAAAUGAUGACGAGUGGCAUUAAUGUAGUAUAAAUAACACUAGAGGUUUGAGAACCUAGGGAUAGGUGGAUCCCUUAGAAAAUGCCUUGUGGAUAAAGAACUUAGUAAACCUAAGUAGCCUCACAUGGAGAGGUUGUUGAUCAGUCGAUUGAGACAUUGACCCUAGUGGUAGGGCAACCUCACUUAGAGAGGAUUUGAUUGGGUUGCGGACCCUAGUGAUAGUGUUUCCUCACUUGGAGAGGACUUAAUUAAGUUGUUCACCCUAGAUGUAGGGCAUCCUCACUUGGAGAGGAUAGAUCUAGCUCACAGUCUGCGUUUGGGAUGGUAUAGCCUUCCAAUCCCCAUAUGGAGGGGAUUGUCGUCGAGUACUUCGGAGUGUCGCGCGACUAGGACCACUUGGAGGUCCGGACCACAUGGAGGUCCGCAGACGGUCCCGGGCUUGGGUGCACUUGGAGCUCCCUCCCUACUUUGGGAUUGAAAGGUGAGUUAUAGGCGAGCCCUAGGGCCUCGCCACAGAUUGGGUAAAAGGAAAGGUAAAGGUUUAAUAAUGUCAUUGAAUAUUGCUAUUCGAACAUGGAUCGAAUUUGUUAGCAUGGUAGCAAACCUUUAUUAUAUGAUGCAUGCAUUCAUAUUCAUGAUUAUGGGCAUAGUAGCAUAGUUUUCCUACUAUCGCAUUUACAGUUUUCAGAUACGUAUCUAUCUAUCUAUCUGUUGUUACUUGUGCCCACUUGGACCUAGUGGGGAGAUCGGCAGAGUCGGGGGCCGAGCCCACUGGGAACUAUGGAAGAUAGUUCUCACCCCACUUUAUUUCCAGUGGUAGGUACAGGGUUGCCGAGAGAGGACCGCGGCAAGGGCAUCAAGCCCGAGCAGUGAGACCGUGGUAGUAUAGUAGCUUUCCUUUUUGCAUUAGGAAACCUAUGUAUCUGAGAGUUCCAUGUAGGUGAGGUUGGAGAGCUAUGUAUUUUGGAUGAUUAAAUGUAUUCAUUUUGAGAAAAGAUGUAAAUGUAAAAGAAUGCAAACUAUUGUAAUAGUUAGUAAAGUACUCUCUUUAUUUCACUUGCAUAUUUUGUGGAUUACUUGCUCUUAGUUGUUGGCACUGUUUGUGCCCCGUUGAAUGUGUAUAUUUAGAAUUUGAAUUCCUCGGUAAAUUCUUGUACACAUUCCUGUUGUUGAGCCUUGGGCGGAUAGGGGAGGUGCUGUCCGUUCGGCGUCUGCUUGCCGUGCCCGAACCACGCCAAAUUGGUAGGGGUUUCAGGGCAGGGCGUGACAGUCGUUGGUAUCAGAGCAAGUGAGCAAGUAAAGAGAGAAAGUCUAGGAUGACCUAGGAGACCCUAGGUUGGUGAACCCUAAGGUUGUAGGUGCGUGAGCAGAACGUGAACCUAUAACGAUGGCGGAAGUUGAUUCGAUUGGGUUGAAGUUGGCUAUAUGUCUCUAGUUAUGAUUAGAGACGGAUUUAAGUGGUAUGAGUUCUCGUCUUGAGGUGGUUGUGUCGGCGGCCGACGACAUGAUACCAAGAGUCUAGAACGAGUACGCUUGUGUGCUUCCGCCCGAUUGUGUUGUUAAGUCGUCAUGUGUCGUAAUUUCGACGAGGUAAUUGGUUAAGAUGACUGACCAAGUAUUUGCGUUUCAAGGACUAAUGUCUCCAAGGUGCUACACACGUAGAUCUGCCCCGGCACCGACUCCUGAGGUGCCCGAGCAGGUGGGGUCAAGCGAGUUCGAUCGAUUACAGGCGCAAGUGACCGCAUUGACCAAUGUGGUGCAGCGCCAGGAGACCCGAUUCGAGCCGCUCUAGGAGCUCUUGAAGCGGCAGGUUGCGUCGGCGGCCGCAACGGCGAUGAAUGGACGCGGUGUGCCCGCACCCUCGACUCACGUACCCGAGCCGGCUAAGGGUGAGGGUAUAGCGGCGGUUCCGGUGGUGGCACGUCCCCCGUCGGCACUUGUUCCUCCGGCGGGGUCGGGAGCAGCAACACCCGAUGUGACGGCCAAAGACGCAGAAGGAGAGCGCGCAUUGGCGGCUCUCAUCAAGUUCAACAAGUUCCAUCCGCCUACCUUUGAGGACGAGAAGGUGGAGCCGGCAAUGGUCGAGUCUUGGAUCGACUCGAUGGAGACUCUCUUUGAGGACCUACGUACCUUGGAGAGGGACAAAGUGUACCUUGCCACCCACUGCUUGGAAAAAGCGGCAAAGGUAUGGUGGAAACGCGUGAAGCGGGAUCGGUCUUCCGAUCAUCUGCCAAUGUUGUGGGAGGAAUUUAAGCGGGAGAUGUUCGCCAACUACUUCCCCGAUACGUUGAAGCGGAAGCUCAAGGAGAAGUUCCGCAAGUUGGAGCAAGGGGACCGCUCAGUGGCGGAGUAUGAACAAGAAUUCUCCCAUCUCAUAGACUGUGUCCCGGACGUAGUGAAGGAUGACCAGGACAGGGCCGAUUGGUUCUUGCGAGGACUUCGGCCGGGGAUCUACAAGGCCGUGCAGAUACUCAAGAUCACGACCUUUGCGGAGGUCUUCGACCGAGCACUUUGGGCGGAGCACGGAGACGCCCACGUUCCGGAGGAGCGCGAAGCGUUAGCCGAGUCUAAGGACAAAGGCAAGAAACGUCAAGGCGGCGGUGGUUUGGGGGGACAAGCACAUUCUAAAAAGCCCCCGAAGUAUCCGCGGACGCAGCAAAAGAGGCGUGGAGCGCGGCGUUGCGUUAUUUGCGGCCGAGACCACCUGGUGUCGCGCUGUGAGUAGCGCGAAGGCAAGUGCUACAAGUGUGGGCAGCCGGGGCACUUCAUUCGAGAUUGCCCGGGAGGAUGAGCCUCACCUGCCUCGUUGAUUGCAUCAGCGCCGGCGAUCCCAGCUCACUAUGGAGGAGUUCCACCGACGGCUGUGUCGGCGGGACGUGCGAUGAUGCCGCGCCAACCCGAGAUGGCGCGAUCGGCCCUGAGCGGACGGGUAUUUGCCGCUCAGGUCUAAGCUGAGGAGCCUGCGGAGGCGAAAGAGCACCGCCUUGUGGCAGGUAUGGUUCUAGUUAAUGGAAUUCGCUCUAGGGCUUUAUUCGAUACUGGUGCUACAUAUUCAUUCAUCAGUAGAUCAUUCACACGCAUGCAUGACAUACUCAUAGAGGCGAGUGACAAGUGGCGAGUUGAGGGCCCUGGGUCGACGUUUAACACCUACUCAGAGUGUGCAUCGUGUCCAGUACAAGUAGGUGACUAGAUAAUGCCUAUUCGGAUGCUAGAACUCAAGAAGCUCGAGGCUUAUGACGUCAUUUUGGGCAUGGACUGGCUCUCGAAAUAUAACGCAACAAUCGACUGCAAGAGCAAAGUAAUUACGUUUCGUGAGCCAGGACAAAAGGAGUUCACAUAUUGGGCUUGCCAGAGCUCGUGCUUCGUCGCGACGGUGUCGGCGACGAGAACAAGGAAGUUGGUCAACAGCGGUUGCACGGCAUUCUUAGAGACUGUUGUGGAAGUGGAAAAAGUAGCUCCAACACUGGAGGAGAUAUCGGUGGUGCAGGAGUUCCCGGAUGUGUUUCCCGCGGAGUUGCCGGGGAUACCACCGGAUCGGAAAAUCGAGUUUGUCAUAAACUUAGUUCCCGGUACCACACCGAUCUCGAAGGCUCCGUACCGAAUGGCGCCGGCGGAACUGAAAGAGUUGAGGAGUCAACUGCAAGACCUUCUCGACAAGCAGUUUAUCCGUCCAAGUGUAUCACCGUGGGGAGCCCCGAUGUUGUUUGUACGGAAGAAGGACGGAUCAUUCUGACUCUACGUGGACUAUCAAGAAUUGAACAGAGUCACGAUAAAAAAUAAGUACCCACUACCCCGAAUCGAUAAUUUGUUCGAUCAGUUGCAGAGGUCGUGUGUAUACUCGAAGAUAGACUUGCAAUCCGGCUAUCACCAGUUGAAGAUCAAGCCGGAGGAUGUGCAGAAAAUCGCGUUUCGCACGCGGUACGGGCACUAUGAAUUCACGGUCAUGCCAUUUGGACUCACGAACGCUCCAGCGGUAUUUAUGGACUUGAUGAACCGUGUCUUCAGAAGGUUUUUGGAUCGAUUUGUUGUGGUCUUCAUAGACGACAUAUUGGUCUAUUCUUGUAGUGACGAGGAACAUGCCGAGCAUUGAGGAUUGUGUUUCAAACCCUUCGGGAGGAGAAGCUGUAUGCUAAGUUAAAGAAGUGUGACUUCUGGCUUCGAGAAGUCGCAUUUCUAGGGCAUGUGACUUUCGCAGGUGGAGUUUCUGUAGACCCGAGGAAAGUUGAGGCAAUCAAUGAUUGGCCGCGCCCGACGAAUGCCACGGAGGUUCGAAGCUUCGUGGGCUUGGCGGGCUAUUAUAGGCGGUUUGUGGAAGGCUUUUCGAAGAUAGUAAUUCCACUUACCCGCCUAACUCAGAAUGGCACCAAGUUUGUGUGGAGCGAAGAGUGCGACUGGAGUUUCAAAGAGUUGAAGCAAAGAUUAACUUCGACUCCGGUGCUCUCUUUAACGGUACAGGGCGAAAACUUCGUGGUCUAUAGCGAUGCUUCUUAUCUAGGAUUGGGGUGUCUCCUGAUGUAGGGCGGAAAGGUAAUCGCUUAUGGGUCCCGUCAGCUAAAGAGCUAUGAGAAGAACUACCCCAUUCAUGAUUUGGAGCUAGCGGCAGUAAUUUUCACCUUGAAGCUGUGGCGGUACUACUUGUACGGUGCCCAUUGUGAGAUCUAUACCGACCACAAGAGUUUAAAAUAUCUGUUCACACAGAAAGAGCUCAACAUGAGACAACGGCGGUGGUUAGAAUUGUUAAAGGACUAUGAUAUUGAUAUCCUUUACCACCCCGGAAAAGCUAAUGUGGUCGCGGAUGCGCUGAGUAGGAAGUCAGCGGAGAACCUCUCGAUGUCGGUUACAAAUCAAUCACCCUUGUGGUUAGACAUGGAGCGGAUGAACCUUAAGGUGGUUGCUCCCGAGAUUCUAGCCCAGUUGAUGGCGCUCACUGUCCAACCGACCUUGUUGGAGAGGAUUAAAGAUCUGCAACCUGCGGACCCAGAACUCCAAAAGGUGCGGCGAAACAUCGAGGAAGGUCGAAGUGGCGAUUUCAGUAUAAACGCCGAUGGUGCACUUCGGUUUCGGAACCGGUGGUGUGUACCCAAAAAUGGAGAACUUCGCGAGCUAAUUCUACAAGAAGCGCAUCGGUCUCCAUAUGCUGAUCACACGGGCGGCACCAAGAUGUAUCAAGGAUUAAAGAUGCACUAUUGGUGGCCGAAAAUGAAGAGUGAUAUUGGACGCUUCGUGGCGAAAUGCUUGACAUGCCAACAAGUGAAGGCAGAGCGUCGGUUUCCAGCGGAAAAGCUGCAAAGCCUACCAAUUUUCGUUUGGAAAUGGGAGGAUAUAUCGAUGGACUUUAUGGUCGGCUUGCCUCGCUCAACGGGCGGCCACGAUGCAAUUUGGGUAAUUGUGGACCGAUUGACGAAGUCGGCUCACUUUCUGCUGAUCCAGACCACGUGGUCGGGUGACAAGUUAGCGCAGGUAUACCUCGACGAGAGAGUGAGACUGCAUGGGGUGCCGAAAUCAAUCGUGUCGGAUUGUGACCCCUGGUUCACUUCAUACUUCUAGAAAAGCCUGCAGGAAGCCCUUGGCACACAGCUCGAUUUUAGCACCGCAUUUCAUCCUCAGACCGAUGGGCAAACAGAGAGAACCAUUCAAACUCUGGAGGAUAUGUUGCGAGCGUGUGUCAUUGACUAUAAGGGAAGUUGGUGUGAUCAUUUGCCGAUGGCCCAGUUCGCCUACAGCAACAGUUACCACGCUAGUGUAGAGAUGGCACCGUUCGAGGCCUUCUACCGGCGGACGUGUCGGUCUCCUAUACUUGGAGCGAUGUGGGUGAGCGCCCAGAGUUCGGCCCCGAUGUGUUGCGAGAAGCGGAGGAGAAAGUCCGCCUUGCUCGCAAGAGAUUGCUCACGGCGCAGUCCAGACAGCAAAGCUAUGCAGAUAGGCGCCGUCGGGACAUAAGUUCGCUGUGGGCGACCGUGUGUUCUUGAAAGCUUCACCGAUGCGGGGUGUGAAGCGAUUUGGAGUACGGGGAAAGCUAAGUCCCCGGUACAUUGGACCCUAUGAGAUAUCGGAGCGGGUUGGCACGGUGGCCUAUCGGUUGGCCUUGCCGCCGAAGCUCACAAAUGAACACAAUGUGUUCCAUGUCUCCAAUCUCCGUAAGUAUAUUCACGACCCCGAGCACGCGAUGCUGUAUGAGCCAUCGGAACUUCAAGAGGACUUGAGCUAUGAAGAGUUCCCGGUGGGUAUUAUUGCCCGAGAAGUGCGAAAACUAAGAAAUCGCGAGAUUCCCUAUGUGAAGAUUUGGUGGAGCAAUCAUGAUAAUCGUUAGGCCACCUGGGAACUCGAGGAUCUGAUGAGAAAGCACCAUCCUCAUCUAUUUGGGGAGUGAGGUAAGGAUUUAAAUUAAAGUUAGAAAAUUAGUUCGUUUCGAGGACGAAACUCCUUUUAAUGAGGGGAGGAUGUAAGGAAGUGAAUUCUCAAAAUUCGAGAGUUUGACUUCGUCCAGGAUCGACUAAUUGUCGAAUGAGCACCCUUUGUGAAGGCUAAAGAUAUCCAAAACACAAAAAGUGCAUUGGAGUUGAGUCUGCGAGAGCAUACAGUACAAAACCUGCACUGGGCUGAAGUUGCUCUCUGGGACCGGUCCCUUGCAGGGAGAGACCGGUCCCCGAGGCUGGUGGUUGCUGGGGAUCUUUGAUGCAACCGGUCCCAGGCUGAGGGGACCGGUCCCCGUGUGCGAGGCCAGUGAGAAAAGCCAAAAUUUGGCUAAGUCCCGAAAAUCCAGCUCUCGGGAACCGGUCUCUCAGACAGGAACCGGUCUCCCGAGGACCGAUCUCUCAGGGAGAGACCGGUUCCCGAACGCGUGAUAUAUGGGGAGGCUCUCGGGGAUCGGUCCCAGGUCGGGGAGAUCGGUCCCUCUGGGCAGAAAUUGCCCAGUAAAGGCAGUGCACAGGAUGGAAAGUGGAGGGAUUUUUAUGCAAAAUGGUAUUAAUUAGAGAGUAUAGAGAGAGAGAGCUCUCUCCCUCUCUCAUUUUCACCCUCCCUCACACUCUCUCUUUCACUCAUCUCUCUUUCUCUCUCUAGAAGGAAAAGAAGGAGAAGAAAAAAGAGGAGAAGAAGAGGAAGAAGAAGAAGAAGAAAAGGAAGGAGAAGAAGAAGGAGAUCAAAGAGGAGCUUUGGACAUCUCCCUCUCCCUCUCCUCUUCUCUUUGGAGCUAGCACAAGAGGUAAGCCCUAACCCUAGCUUUUGGAAANAAAACUGCCUAGUAAAGGCAGUGCACAGGAUGGAAAAUGGAGGGGUUUUUAUGCAAAAUGGCAUUAAUUAGAGAGUAUAGAGAAAGAGAGAGCUCUCUCCCUCUAUCAUUUUCACCCUCCCUCACACUCUCUCUUUCACUCAUCUCUCUUUCUCUCUCUAGAGGGAAAAGAAGGAGAAGAAAAAAGAGGAGAAGAAGAGGAAGAAGAAGAAGAAGAAGAAAAGGAAGGAGAAUAAAAAGGAGAUCAAAGAGGAGCUUUGGACAUCUCCCUCUCCCUCUCCUCUUCUCUUUGGAGCUAGCACAAGAGGUAAGCCCUAACCCUAGCUUUUGGAAACUUAGGGUUUUGGGUUUUGAGUUUUGGAGAGGAGGUCAAAUGGACCUCUUGCACCAUUGUUGGUGGAUUAGAGCUAGAGCUAGGGUUCCAAAUUGCAAAUGGCAAGAUGUGAACCCUAGGGCUCCAAAAUGGAGUUUUUGGUAAAGUAUGAGAUUGAUCUCAUUUAAGGCCUUGUUAACCUAAUUGCUAGGUGUCCAAACGCGGGGGCGAAGUCGGAAUUACGAUUCGUCGAGUGGAUUUAAAGCUAUCGGCAAAAUAAGGCCGAUUGAGCUUUGUUUUGGGACCAAGGAGGCCGAGACCUCGUCGUAAUGUUCGGCGAGAGGCAUUUCUAGAACCUCUACAACGAGAAAAGGUGGGGGGUGUCAUCCCGAAGCAACCGAACUCUUUUCUAUGUCUUAGAAUAACAUAUAAUUUCAUCUCUUGCAUGUUGCAUUGUAGAAUUGCAUGUUUAACCUUCUCCUUAUACUUUGUAAAUGGUAACCUAGUGUGCAUGGAAUGCUAGGUGAAUAGGAUAGGUGAGGAUUGGGUCGGGACAGUUGAUCCUAUAGUGCUAAAGAAAAGAGGUAAACUUGAUGGUUAUCUAGUGACUUAAAGAGUGGCAUCUAAAUGUCUAAAGAACAAACGAGUGGCAUUAACGUAGUGUACUUGACACUAGAGGUUUAUGAACCUAGGGAUAGGUGGAAUCUCUUAGAAAAUGCCUUGUGAACAAUAAAUUUAGUAAAGCUAAGUGCAAUUGCAUGAUGGUCAGAAUAAAUGACUUCCGAGUGUUGUUGGCCCUAGUUCGUAGGGUAUCCUCACAUGGAGAGGACAUAGACGAGUUUUGAUUGUGAUGUUGGCCCUAGGUGGUAGGGUAUCCUCACGUGGAGAGGAUAGAUCAAGCUCACGGUCUGUUAAUCGGGGUGGUAUAGCCAUCCAUAUCCUCACAUGGAGAGGAUUGGUCGUCGAGUACUCUGGAGUGUCGGGCAAUAGGGACCACAUGGAGGUCCACAGACAGUCCCGGGUUUGGGGGCACAUGGAGCUUCCCUACCCAAUUGGGAUGGAAAAGUGAAUUGAGGGCCAACCCAAGGGUUUCGCCACAGAUUGGGUAAAUGUAAAGUUAAUAUUGUCAUUGAACAUUAUUUAUCGAACAUGGAUCGAUCUCGUUAGCAUGAUAGUAUACCUUUACUAUAUGAUGCAUGCAUUCAUUAUACAUGAUUAUGGGCAUAGUAGCAUAGUUUUCCUUUAUGCCUUUACAGCUUUCAGAUAUCUAUCUAUCUGUCUACUUGUUGUUACUUGUGUCCAUUUGGACCUAGUGGGGAGACCGGCGGAGUCGACGACCGAGCCCACUGGGAACUAUGGAAGAUAGUUCUCACCCCACUUUAUUUCCAGUGGUAGGUACAGGGUUGCCGAGAGAGGACUGCGGCAAGGGCAUCACGCCCGGCAGUGAGACCGUGAUAGUAUAGUAGCUUUCCUUUUUGCAUUCGCAAACCUAUGUAUCUGAGAGUUCCAUAUAGGUCAGGUUGGAGAGCUAUGUAUUUUGGAUGAUUAAAUGUAUUCAUUUUGAGAAAAGAUGUAAAUAUAAAAGAAUGCAAACUAUUGUAAUAGUUAGUAAAGUACUCUCUUUAUUUCACUUGCAUAUCUUGUGGAUUACUUGCUCUUAGUUGUUGGCACUGUUUGUGCCCCGUUGAAUGUGUAUGUUUAGAAUUUAAAUUUUUGGGUAAAUUCUUGUACACAUUCCUGUUGUUGAGCCUUGGGCGGACAGGGGAGGUGCUGUCCGUUCGGCGUACGCUUGCCGCGCCCGAACCGCGCCAAAUUGGUAGGGGUUUCGGGGCGGGGCGUGACAUGUAUAGUCAAGCAAAAGUACCUGCAUGUGACUUAUUUACUCUAAGUAGUGGAGGCUUAUGUGAAACUUUAGAAUAUGUGCCAUGAGUUGUAUGAACUUAGAAUGAGUCAUGAGUAUGACUUUAGUAAACCAUUUUCCUUAUGUAUAGGGAGUAGUGAGAGGACUCCAUGUGAGUAUAUAUGGGUAUAGCCCAUUAUGAUGUAAAGAAUAUGCUUGUUUAAGUUAUACUAGCUAAUGGUAGAAUUAUGUCAACAAGUAGUUGAUAGUGGCUUACGAUUUUGUACUACAGUGUCGACCUUGUAUCGAGUUGAGAUUCCAUGACAGAGACAUGAUGAAAUUGUGAUAUCUAUGCUAUGGAUUAUGCUUGCAUGCCAUUGUGUUCAUUCGCACACGCUUGUGGGGGUCGCGCCCUCCAAGCCGGCACUUCGGAGUUAGCCUAGCGACAGAUUGCUCGCUUAUGUACAAUUUGAGCGCUGAAGUGGAUUGCUGUGGGUGAUGUUGACUUCCACGGGGCCAUUAGGCACGGCGCGGCUGGGAUUUUACCUUGUGUAAGUCUCUUGUGAAUUGGGUUAUUAUGAGUUACUUUAACCUUAGACAGACAUAGUAGUAAGGAUACUUUAUGUCAUUGGUCGAGUAAACUUAGUGAUGAACAUACUAGAAGGUUGACAUCCUGAUUAGUUAGUACCAUAGUGACAGUAUGUUUACACUCUUGCUACUGUAGGAAAUUAACUACAUGAUGUUACCAGAUAGCUCAUUGAUAAUAAGGAUAUUUUGCAUACGGUCUGAUAUAUAGCUAGUUAAACUGUCAAUUGGCCUAAUUUGUAAAACUUGUCAUGAUGAACUAGUACAUAAAACAUGUUAAUAAACAUAUCUAGAGAAGAAUAUCAUGACUGAUUUACUUCAGUACCUAUUGCAUUUACUUGCUUAUCUAUUAUUGUUUACUCAUACCACAGUUGGCCUAGUGGUGUACUUCGCCACUCUCGGCGGCUUACCCACUGGGAACUAUUAUUUAAUAGUUCUUACACCCUUUUGUUGGUUGUUUUACGCAGAGCCUUCCACAGCUGGAAAGGCUAGGGUUCCUGGCGAGGGUUCAGCGGCUAGCCAGAGCCUUCUCGAUGUUGAAUAGAUGAACCUCUACCAGUUUAUUUUGAUUUAGUUCAGUAUUGUAUCUUGGACUUAUGUAGAAUGUACUUUGCUUUUACAUUGUAAUAAGGUUUGGGUUUUAUAAGUUUAAACUUGUAGUUGUGCUCCGAUUACUUAGUUAAGAUAUUAUCUUUUUGCUAUAUUGUUUGUAGACGCCUGGUGUACACUUGAGGUAGGAAUGUACACGGCGGGUCUGUGCACGUGAUUGGUGAGCUUUCGCUAAAAUUCAGGGCGUGACAAAUAUCCUCCCAUUUCCAAACGGGGAUAGGUAGGCUCUGAAGCUUUCCCGCUGGAAAUCGGCGCUCCGCCUUGACUUGUUGGCAAACAAGAUAUUGCGCCACAUAGCAUCCAAUGUCAGCUUUCAUUCCCGGCCACCAAUAGAGCACUCUCAAGUCUUCGUACAUCUUGGUGCCGCCCGGGUGAACACUAUAGCGAGACUGAUGCGCUUCCCGCAAAACUAACUUCCGGACCUCUUCUUUUUCCGGUACACACCACCGGUUCCGGUAUCGAAGAGCACCAUCGGCAUGUAUACUGAAAUCGCCACUACGCCCACCCUCGAUGUCGCGCCGCACCUUUUGGAGAUUCGAGUCUGCGGAUUGUAAACUCUUAAUCUUCUCCAACAAGGUCGGUUGGACAACGAGAGCCGUGAGCAUAGACGGAACCUCCGAAGCUACAACCUCGAGAUCCAUUCGCCCCAUUUCCUUCCACAGGGGCACCUGAUUCGUGAUCAACAACGUGAGGUUCUCCGUUGACUUUCUGCUAAGUGUAUUCGCUACCACAUUAGCCUUUCCAGGAUGGUAGAGUAUAGUAAUAUCAUAGUCCUUCAACAACUCUAGCCACCGACGUUGCCUCAUGUUGAGCUCUUUCUGUGUAAACAGGUAUUUCAGACUUUUGUGGUCCAUAUAUAUCUCGCAAUGCGCACCGUACAAGUAGUGUCUCCACAGCUUCAAAGCGAAGAUCAUUGCGGCCAAUUCCAAAUCGUGGAUAGGGUAGUUCUUCUCGUAGCUUUUCAAUUGACGGGAUGAUUAUGCGAUCACCUUCCCGUUCUGCAUCAGAACACACCCCAAACCUAGAUAAGAUGCAUCGCUAUACACCACAAAGUCCUCACCUUGCACCGGUAGGGCGAGCACCGGAGUCGAAGUCAACCUCUCCUUCAACUCCUUGAAACUCUGGUCACACUCGUCACUCCAAAUAAACUUGGUGCCCUUUUGUGUCAGACGGGUAAGUGGAAUAACUAUCUUCGAGAACCCCUCCACAAACCGUCUAUAGUAGCCCGCUAAGACCACAAAGCUUCGGACCUCCGUUACAUUCAUCGGGCGAGGCCAAUCCUUAAUUGCCUCAACUUUCCUCAGGUCAACAGAAACUCCACCCUCGAAAAUGACAUGUCCCAGAAAUGCAACUUCUCGGAGCCAAAAGUCACAUUUCUUCAACCUCGUGUAUGGCUUUUCCUCCCGAAGGACUUGAAGCACUAUCCUUAAAUGCUCCGCAUGCUCCUCGUCGCUACGAGAGUAGACCAAGAUGUCGUCUAUAAAGACUACGACAAAUUGGUCCAAAUAAGCUCUGAAGACACGGUUCACCAAAUCCAUGAAUACUGCCGGGGCAUUUGUGAGCCCAAACGACAUAACCAUGAACUCGUAGUGUCCAUACCGCGUGCGAAAUGUGGUCUUUUGCACAUCCUCCGGCUCUAUCUUCAGCUGAUGGUAGCCAGACUGGAGGUCUAUCUUCGAGUAUACUCGUGACCCCUGUAACUGAUCAAACAAGUCGUCGAUACGGGGCAACGGGUACUAGUUCUUAAUAGUGACCUUGUUCAACUCGCAGUAGUCCACGCAAAGUCGAAAUGAUCCAUCUUUCUUUCUCACGAACAAAACCGGGGCUCCCUACAGUGACACACUCGGCCUGAUAAAUUCCUUGUCGAGGAGAUCUUGCAACUGAGCCCUCAAUCUUUCAAUUCAGCAGGUGCCAUACGGUAUGGAGCCUUUGAUAUCGGCGCGGUCCCGAGAACCAAGUUUAUAACGAACUCGAUCUCCCGAUCCGACGGUAUCCCCGGUAACUUCACGAGAAACACAUCCGGAAACUCCCGGACCACGGACAUACUCUCAAGUGCCGGAGUCCCUGAUCAACCUUCACAACGGUCACCAAAUAAGUCGCGCAACCGCUGCUAACCAGUUUCCUCGCCCUAGACGCCGACACCGUCAUGGCGAAGCACGACCUCCUGCAUGCUUGAUAAGUAAACUUCUCCUGUCCUGGCUCAUGAAAGGUAAUAACUCUACUAUUGCAGUUAAUAGACGCAUAGUACUUCGAGAGCCAGUCCAUGCCCAGUAUCAGAUCAAAAUCUUUCAACCUCUUGAGCACCAACAAACGUGUCGACAUAAUCCAGUUGCCCACUUGUACCGGACACGCCAAACACUUUUUCCGUAUAAUAAAUUCACGCUCGGGGGCUUCAACCCGCCAAGUACUCUUGCUCAACUGAACCUCUAUGCCAUGUAUCUCAGCAAAUGGUCUACUGGUGAAUGAAUGCAUAGCACCUGUAUCAAACAUAGCUCUGGAGAGAACUCCGUUAACCGAAACCAUACCUGCCACGACGUUGCUCUCCUCGGCCUCAGCAGGUUCCUCGGCUUGAGCGGCGAAUACUCGUCUGCUCGGAGCCGAUCGGGUCACCUCAGGCUGGCGUGGUGCCAUAGCAUGUCCAGCAGAUACAGCAGUAGGUGGAGCUCCUCCAUAAUGGUCCGGUGUCGCGGGAGCCGAUGCAAUCUAUGGGGCAGGCGAGGUCCUCCCCGGACAGUAACGACUCAUAUGUCCCGCCUGGCCACACGUGUAGCAUCUCCCCUCCUUCUGCUUACAACGAUUUGGGUCAUGAUCACCGCCACAAAUGACGCACUGCCGAGCCCCGCGACCCUUGGACUGCGUUCGCGGAUAUUUCAGAGGCCUCAUCGACCUUGACUGACCUCCCGAACCAUCAGGGGCUCGCUUCUUACCCCCGUCCCUCUCGGACGCUUCACGCUCCUCACGGACGUAGGAGUUACCAUUCUCCGCCCAGAACACCCGAUCGAGCACCUCUGCAAAAGUAGUAAGCUUCAAGAUAUGAACCGCCUUGUAGAUAUCCGGCCGGAGUCCUCGCUCGAACCAAUCUGCUCGAUCCUUGUCGUCUCGCACCACGUCGAAGACGCAGUUGAUGAUAUGCGAGAACUCCCGCUCAUACUCUCCAACUGAGCGGUUACCUUGCUUCGGCUUCCUAAACUGAUCUUGGAGCUUCUUCUUCUCACUAUCGGGGAAAUAGUUAGUGUACAUUAACCCCCGAAACUCUUCCCACGCGAACGGCGGAAGGUCGGAAGACCGAUCCCUCUUAAUACGCUUCCACCACACUUUCGCCGUCCGCUCCAAACAAUGAGUGGCGAGGUGUACCUUAUCCCUCUCCAAUGUGUAAAGAUCAUCGAACAGGGUCUCCAUCGAGUCAACCCACGACUCGACCAUCCAUGGCUCGACCUUCUCUCUGUCGAACACUGGUGGAUCAAACUUCCGGAACAUCACGAGAGCAGCAAGCGCGCGCUCCCUCUCCGCCGCUAUCGCCGCACCUUUGGGAUUAGAAGUUUCCGAACUAGUAGCUACUACUGCUGGCGCGGGCUGCACUGCAACCUGUUAAGUCUUAUGUAUUGGCAAGUUUUGUGAAGUGAGUCGGAGUCUUGAAGGAUCUGUGCGUAUUGUCGAAGAUCGAAGAAUCCAAGACUUCGAAGAAAGCGGAAUUAACUCACUAUGUGAAUCACGAUGACCAGGUAAGCUUUUAAUUCAUGUUAUGGUGAUUGAUACUUAGUUGUAGGCAUUAUAAUCAUAAUAUCAAAGUUUACUGGAUUAGAAGUGCAUUGGUACUUUGCAAAAUCCGAAAUCGUGCAAAUUGUGGGUUUUUGUAAAGUGUACCGGUACAACAUCGGAAGUGUACCGGUACACAUUAUGUUCCGGUACAGCAAGCGACGUUGUCAUCGGUUACAGCUUUACGCAGGUUUUCUCUUCCGUCAUCGUGUAACCGGUAACAGCUUAAAGUGUACCGGUACACAAUGUAAUUUUCGAAAAAACUUUCUAAUCCGACUCCAAUUGAUUCUAAAGUCUAUAAAUAAGCUAUUGGGGUUCUCUAACACAUCAAGCAUCACGAGAAUACAUGUUUGAGAAAUCCUAGAGGCUUGGAUUUCAUCUAAAACCUAUUUUCUACAUAUUAGUCUCUUUUAGGUCAAAUCGAGAUAUUGAAAUUUCAUAUCUAUAUGUUGAUUUGAUCUUUGCUUCGCUUGGAGUUCCCUUCCCUGGUUCUCUUCGAUACUCUAAGCGAAGGAUCACCAUACACAUGAUAUUCUUCAUGAUGGCGUCGUGGAUUCGGCGUGAUUGACGGCGGUUCGUGGAUUCGGAUCGUGAGCUUCGUGGCUUCGGAGUGGAGGCGUUUCGUGGAUUCGGAACGUGGCGUUCGUGGAUUCGAACGUGAGGGCGUGGACAACCCGGAGGAUUGCGCGAGAUUCAUAGGAGGUUAAGAGAGGUCGAGUCCAUAGAGUUGGUAAUCACCUUGUAAUCUUUUCUCUUAGUGAAUUAUUUUUUCGCGUGUUGGUCUCGUGGGUUUUUUACUCCAAGUUGGAGUUUUCCCACGUAAAUCUCGGUGUAAUUUUUAUUUUUCGUAUUUAUUUUGAUCGCAUUGAGAUUUGUGGUUUUUGGCUCUCACACCUAUUCACCCCCCUCUAGGUGUUAGAUACAAUCUAGAUAGAUCCUUGGGCUCCUCAAAACUUUCAAUUAAUAUUGGAGCGGCAUCUAGAUAUAUUGAUAUCUAAUGGCCGAAGGCGGUAACAUUAAUCGACCACCACUCUUCGAUGGCACGAAUUAUGCCUAUUGGAAAGAGCUUUUCUAAUCGCAAUCGAUGAGCAGGUGUGGAAAGCUAUUGAAUUCGGUUGGAAGUAUCCUAACGAAGUCGUCGAUAAUGCUACCGUUCCUAAACCACAGAAUAAGUGGACGAAAGAUGAAAACAAGUCAUAUUCGUUUAACGAUAGCACAGCCGUAGUGGCCACACCCUCCGUCGCACCAGGCACAAUAACGGGAGGCGCGGGUCGCUCAACAUCCGCCUGAGCCGACGCCUGUUGCGCCACCAAUUCCUAUAGCCUAGCGAUCUGAUCCUCCUGGUGCUGCAUCGCACGAGCCAUCGUAGCUAUCUGCGUUCGCAACUCCCGCACUUCUUCAGAUCCCAACUGUUCGGGCACCUCAGUGGGUGGUGCCGGAGUGGAUCGCGUCCUGGGACGUCCCCUCGGUGCCAUAGCUCCUGAAACGCAACAACUGGUUAAUCACCUUAACCCGUUAACUCCUCGUAAUCACGAGACAAAACUACUCAAUAUCGAAAUCGGGCGGAAGCACACAAGUGUACUCAUUCUAGACUCUUAGCGUCAUGUUGUCGGCCGCCAACACAACCACCUCGAGCCAAGAACUAAUACCACUUGAAUCCGUCUCUAUCAACAACUAGAGACUUACUACUAACAACUUCGACCCAAUCGAAUCAACUUCCGCCGCCGGCAUAGAUUCACGUCUCACUCACGCACCUAUAGCCUUAAGGUUACCGUCCUAGGGUCUCCUAGGUCUAUCCUAGACUUCUCUAUUUGCUUGCUCCGAUACCAUUUUAUCUAUCACGCCCCGCGACCGCCAAUUUGGUCGGUUCGGGUACGUCGAUCAGACGCCGAACGGACAGAGCCUCUCCGGUCCGCCUAAGGCUAAACAACCACAAUCAUGUAAAAUAAGUUGCCCAGGUAAACUUAAACAACAUACAUGAAGCGUUGCGAGUACUAAUACAAGCAAACAACAAAAGAGAGAGAGACCUAGCUAUUACACUUGUCAUUCAACAUUUACAUAAUUUUUUUACAUUUUUACUCCCAAAAUGUAUAUAAGUUCUGCUCAAAACAUAUACAUACAACUCUCCAAUAUAUACAUCAUCUGUCACUCAUGUACACAGGGGUACUCUAAUGCAAAAGGAAAGCUGCUAGCUACUAGGGCUCUAUGCCCUUACCGCAGUCCUCGCCCGGUCCGCUCACACUCGGCCCUGCAACAAAGUACGGUGAGAACUACGAAUAGUUCCCAGUGGGUUCGGCCGCUGACUCUACCGAUCUUUCCACUAGGUCUAAGCAGGCAUAAGUAGAUAGAUAGAUAUAUGAAAAUGAGCUGCUACAUAGUAACAAAAUCUACAACAUGCUAAUAUGCCUCAAUAAAUAGAAUGAAUGCAUGAACAUAGUAAUGUACUUUACUAACAUGAUACUAUGUCUCAAUUUACAUGAUAUACAUGAUAUAAAGGAAAUAUCUACAUAGCAAUGAAACCUACUAUCAAGUACUAUGUUUCAUGUCCAAUCUCAUCUCGGCUAAUCCGAAGGUUAGGCCGAACUCACAUCUCAAAUCUCGUCAGUGAGUAGACUCUGCGCUACACAUACCAGAGACCACCUAAUGGGUAAUCAAGUUACCCAAACACGACAUCUACUCCGGAGCUCACUACUUGGGGUGGAGCGACCACGCCAAGGUUACACAGACUAUGUGAGUACGAUCCAAUCCUCUCACUCGAGGAUAGUUAGUGCCUCUGCUGCACUAGUUCACAUGCCACUACUCAGGAAAUCAUUAUCUAUUCCUAAGUUCAUGUUAUCAAGUUGUAAGUGUUUCAACUACACUAGUUUACAUGCCACUACUUAGGAAAUCAUCUUCUAUUCCUAAGUUCAUGUCAUAGUGUUUCUACUACACUAGUCCAAAUGCGACUCUUCUAGGUCAUUUACAUGUCCAAGUUCAUCUUUUGUUCUUUGGCACUAUAGGAUUUCAUGUCAAGACCCAAUCCUUAUACGUCCACUAAAUCAAGUGCUUAACUCACAAUAUGAUUCUACAAUGGAAACAUGCAAGGAAUUGAAGUACAACUACUUAACAUAAUCUAUAAUGCAUGAUAAUAAUAUAUGUACAUAUACUAUAAUAAAACAACUCGGAUAUAGAAAAAAGUUCAACUGCUUCGGGAUGGACACCCCCCACCUCUUGGUGAUGCCACGAAGCUAGACUCCAAGUUUCGUAAUUUUUCGCCCCCUAUUUCUUCCGACUGCGACGAACGAAGCCAAAAAUAGGCUUUUCUUCAAUAUCUCUGCGCAGACUCGUCGGAUCGCCGAACCGAGUUUACCAACAUGUCGGAUUACCUAGCGAUUAAGUAUAAAAGAGAUCAAUCCUAACUUUAGAUCUCAAUUUAACAAAACCCUCUUUAGAACCCUAGAUUACAACUAUUGCAAGAAUUCAUCGAACAGCUUCAUGAUUCAAGCAAUAAUCAUAUAUUCAACAUCUAAGGGUUCAACUAAAACCGAUUCUAGAGCAUAAGAUUCAAACCCUAGAAAUCCACCAUGAGAGGGUUUGAAGCUAACCUCUACAAGCUCCUCCAAAGCAAGGAAGAAAAUGAAAUCCACCUUCAAGCUUCAAUCUCCACCAAUCCUUCCUCUAGCCUCCACUCUUGAGAGAGAGCUUCUAGAGAGAGAGGGGGAGAAAAAUGAGUGAAGGAGAUAUUUCCCUGGCUGUGAACAAGAAAGGGAGAGAUAGGGGCUUUUUAUAAGCUGCCACAAUUGCAGAAAAACCCCUCCUUUUCAUUCUAUUUGAAGCAGACCAAUUCUGCUGUUUCCUGCACUGGGUACCAGUACGGGGGUGGGCUUCACCGGUUAAGCCGCUUCGCAGAGGCCAAACCCGAGAGUUGCUAUCCUCGGUUUUCUGCGGGGUACCGGUACUACCCUGAUGCUUAACUAGUUAAGCAAUGCCCAGACUGCAGUUUGGCUCUUGCUCAACUCCAUUUCGCGCCGAGCAACGCUAAAACUUAAUAAUUUAGCUUGGAGUUCAACUUUAACCUUUCUAACAUUAUUGGAAUGUCACAUGGACCAUGUCCAAGCACCUUUCUCGCGACGCUUUGGUCAUUUUGACCAAAAGACGAGGAUUCAAUAUCUUACAGCAGGCUUGCAUAUAUUGUAUCUCUGUGGACCUUGGGUUCAGGCAACACAUCGACUCCUUUGUCGUGUUUUUUGAUCUGGUUGAUCGUGGUUCGGCGUUGUGCGCCUUUAUAUCUGGCUUCGGCGAAGGCACCGGCUUCAGCUGAUUUUCGCUUUGAGCAUAUCAGUAUGGCUUAGUCACAGCACUUGGGGGUAUUCAUGACAUCAGGCCACCGACCGGAAGUGUACUUAUCCGAAUGGGUCGUCCAGUGGGCGGAUGAAUCAGGUCGGUGCAGAUUUGUGACAGGCAGCGCUUGAGGUCUGCGGACCAACAUAGCAGGCACCAGAUUGGGUAUAGUUUUAGUUUGGUUACCUUGAGGCAUACUCGGCAUUAUUUUCUAUACAGUAGCAGUCUUUAUUACUUGUUUCUUAGCAUAUCUGCUAUAGCUACUGUAGUUCUUUUUGUAUCAUAGCACUUGUACUUUGUUUAUGUUAGGUCUUAUGUGUUGGCAAGUUUCGUGGGUCGAGUCGGAGUCUUGAAGAAGUUCGGAGCGGACUAUUGAAGAUCGAAGAAUCCAAGACUUCGAAGAAUCGAAAAGGACGUAAAACAUGCAAAACUUGAAUCACGAUGCGUUGG
rnacentral:lncRNA from 1 species